rnacentral:rRNA from 1 species
AGUGAACGCUGGCGGUAGGCCUAACACAUGCAAGUCGAACGGCAGCACAGAGGAGCUUGCUCCUUGGGUGGCGAGUGGCGGACGGGUGAGGAAUACAUCGGAAUCUACUCUGUCGUGGGGGGUAACGUAGGGAAACUUACGCUAAUACCGCAUACGACCUACGGGUGAAAGCAGGGGAUCUUCGGACCUUGCGCGAUUGAAUGAGCCGAUGUUGGAUUAGCUAGUUGGCGGGGUAAAGGCCCACCAAGGCGACGAUCCGUAGCUGGUCUGAGAGGAUGCUCAGCCACACUGGGACUGAGACACGGUCCAGACUCCUACGGGAGUCAGCAGUGGGGAAUAUUGGACAAUGGGCGCAAGCCUGAUCCAGCCAUACCGCGUGGGUGAAGAAGGCCUUCGGGUUGUAAAGCCCUUUUGUUGGGAAAGAAAUCCAUCUGGUUAAUACCCGGGUGGGAUGACGGUACCCAAAGAAUAAGCACCGGCUAACUUCGUGCCAGCAGCCGCCGUAA